CAGGAUGAACGCUAGCUACAGGCUUAACACAUGCAAGUCGAGGGGCAGCAUGAAUCAAGCUUGCUUGAUUUGAUGGCGACCGGCGCACGGGUGCGUAACACGUAUCCAAUCUACCCAUGGCUCAGGGAUAGCCUUUCGAAAGAAAGAUUAAUACCUGACGGUUUCAUGAGCCCGCAUGGACUUAUGAAUAAAGAUUUAUCGGCGAUGGAUGAGGAUGCGUCCGAUUAGAUAGUAGGCGGGGUAACGGCCCACCUAGUCGACGAUCGGUAGGGGCUCUGAGAGGAGGAUCCCCCACAUUGGAACUGAGACACGGUCCAAACUCCUACGGGAGGCAGCAGUGAGGAAUAUUGGUCAAUGGGCGAGAGCCUGAACCAGCCAAGUAGCGUGAAGGGAUGACUGCCCUAUGGGUUGUAAACCUCUUUUGUCUGGGAAUAAAGUGAGCCACGUGUGGCUUUUUGUAUGUACCUUACGAAUAAGCAUCGGCUAAUUCCGUGCCAGCCGCGGC
rnacentral:rRNA from 1 species